GACGAACGCUGGCGGCGUACCUAAUACAUGCAAGUCGAGCGGACUUUCAAGAAGCUUGCUUUUUGAAAGUUAGCGGCGGACGGGUGAGUAGCACGUGGGCAAACUGCCUGUAAGACGGGGCUAGCUCCGGGAAACCGGGGCUAAUACCGGAUAAUAUCUUUCUUAGCAUGAAGGAAGGUUGAAAGGCGGCGCAAGCUGCCGCUUGCAGAUGGGCCCGCGGCGCAUUAGCGAGUUGGUGAGGUAACGGCUCACAAAGGCGACGAUGCGUAGCCGACCUGAGAGGGUGAUCGGCCACACUGGGACUGAGACACGGCCCAGACUCCUACGGGAGGCAGCAGUAGGGAAGCUUCCGCAAUGGACGAAAGUCUGACGGAGCAACGCCGCGUGAGCGAAGAAGGUCUUCGGAUCGUAAAGCUCUGUUGUCAGGGAAGAACAAGUACCGUUCGAAUAGGGCGGUACCUUGACGGUACCUGACCAGAAAGCCACGGCUAACUACGUGCCAGCCGCCGCCGUAA
rnacentral:rRNA from 1 species